rnacentral:rRNA from 1 species
GACGAACGCUGGCGGCGUGCUUAACACAUGCAAGUCGAACGGAAAGGCCCUGCUUGCAGGGUGCUCGAGUGGCGACCGGGUGAGUAACACGUGGGUGAUCUGCCCCUUACUUUGGGAUAAGCCUGGGAAACUGGGUCUAAUACUGGAUAGGACCAUGCUGUAGGUGGUGUGGUGGAAAGAUUAGUUUCGGUAAGGGAUGAGCUCGCGGCCUAUCAGCUUGUUGGUGGGGUAAUGGCCUACCAAGGCGUCGACGGGUAGCCGGCCUGAGAGGGUGGACGGCCACAUUGGGACUGAGAUACGGCCCAGACUCCGACGGGAGGCAGCAGUGGGGAAUAUUGCACAAUGGGCGCAAGCCUGAUGCAGCGACGCCGCGUGGGGGAUGACGGGCUUCGGGUUGUAAACUCCUUUCAGCCAUGACGAAGCCCUUGUGGUGACGGGAGUGGUAGAAGGAGCACCGGCUAACUACGU